GGAAUCUUCCACAAUGGACGAAAGUCUGAUGGAGCAACGCCGCGUGAGUGAAGAAGGGCUUCGGCUCGUAAAACUCUGUUGUUAAAGAAGAACAUAUCUGAGAGUAACUGUUCAGGUAUUGACGGUAUUUAACCAGAAAGCCACGGCUAACUACGUGCCAG
rnacentral:rRNA from 1 species